UAGCAUAAUCAUUUGUUUUUUAAUUGAUGACUGGAAUGAACGGUUUAACAAAGUAAAGUUUUUUGUUAAUAUACUAGUAAAUUGUAUUUUUAGUGAUAAUACUGAAAUUAAAUUGAGGGACGAUAAGACCCUAAAAGCUUUAUUUUAGCAGUACUAAUUAUUUAAUUAUUAUAGUGAAAGUUAGGUUGGCAUAAUUUAACUGGGGUAGUGACUUUAUAAAAAUUAGCGUUAAUUGAUAAACAUGUUUAAUGGGUUUGAGAUCCUCUAUAUAAGGAUAAAUAGUGUGAGUUACUUUAGGGGUAACAGCGUAAUAUUCUUGAGGAGAUCUUAUUUAUAAGAGUGAUUACGACCUCGAUGUUGAAUUAAAGUAUCUUUGUGAGGUAGAAAGCACAUUAAGAGGGUUUGUUCAACCUUUAAAUUUUUACAUGAUUU
rnacentral:rRNA from 1 species